GGAGUCAGACUGCACGAGAUAAGUUGGGCAGUCAAAAGGGAAAGAGCCCAGACCUACAGCUAAGGUCCCAAAGUGCGUGUUAAGUGGAAAAGGAUGUGGGAUUUCGAAGACAACUAGGAUGUUGGCUCAGAAGCAGCCAUACAUUCAAAGAGUGCGUAAUAGCUCACUAGUCGAGAGGUCCUGCGCCGAAAAUGUCCGGGGCUGAAACACGACACCGAAGCUUAGGAAUCACAUAGUGAUUGGUAGAGGAGCAUUCUUAAAACCGACGAAGCUGUACCGGAAGGAGCAGUGGAGGGAUAAGAAGAGAGAAUGCCGGAAUGAGUAGCGAGAGGAAGGUGGGAAUCCUUCCGGCCGAAUAUCUAAGGUUUCCAGAGUAAAGCUGAUCUGCUCUGGGUAAGUCGGGGCCUAAGGCGAGGUCGAAAGACGUAGUCGAUGGAUAACAGGUGGAGAUUCCUGUACUAUGUGUACCCAGAACUGUGGGGACGCAUGUGGAGAGCAUGAGCCGGGAAAGAGAAGACCGGUACAAGCGGGGUAGGAGUAAGGACAGCAAAUCUUCCUUACAAUCCGAAGACGUAAUGUGGACCGAACCAAAGUAGGGAAGCGUGUGAGCCAUGUGCCAAGAAAAGCCGCUAUUGUGAUACACAUACCCGUACCGUAAACCGACACAGGUGGAUGAGGAGAGAAUCCUAAGGCCGACGGAAGAAGCAUUGUUAAGGAACUCGGCAAAAUGACCCCGUAACUUCGGGAGAAGGGGUGCCUGCGAGAGCAGGCCGCAGAGAAUAGGCUCAAGCAACUGUUUAGCAAAAACACAGGUCUAUGCGAAACCGAAAGGUGAGGUAUAUGGGCUGACGCCUGCCCGGUGCUGGAAGGUUAAGAGGAGAGGUUAGCGCAAGCGAAGCUUUGAAUUUAAGCCCCAGUAAACGGCGGCCGUAACUAUAACGGUCCUAAGGUAGCGAAAUUCCUUGUCGGGUAAGUUCCGACCCGCACGAAAGGCGUAAUGAUUUGAGCGCUGUCUCGACAAUGCAUCCGGUGAAAUUGAAGUACCAGUGAAGAUGCUGGUUACCCGCGCCAGGACGGAAAGACCCCAUGGAGCUUUACUCCAGUUUGGUACUGGGAUUCGGUACUGCAUGUACAGGAUAGGUGGGAGACUGAGAAAUUGGAACGCCAGUUUCAAUGGAGUCACUGUUGGGAUACCACCCCUGCAGUAUUGGGUUUCUAACCAGCCGCUGUGAUCCAGCGGUGGGACAAUGCCAGGCGGGGAGUUUGACUGGGGCGGUCGCCUCCGAAAGGGUAUCGGAGGCGCUCAAAGGUUCCCUCAGAAUGGUUGGAAACCAUUCGAAGAGUGCAAAGGCAGAAGGGAGCUUGACUGCGACACCGACGGGUGGAGCAGGUACGAAAGUAGGACUUAGUGAUCCGGUGGUAUAAAGUGGGAUUGCCAUCGCUCAACGGAUAAAAGCUACCCUGGGGAUAACAGGCUUAUCACUCCCAAGAGUUCACAUCGACGGAGUGGUUUGGCACCUCGAUGUCGGCUCAUCGCAUCCUGGGGCUGUAGCAGGUCCCAAGGGUUGGGCUGUUCGCCCAUUAAAGCGGUACGCGAGCUGGGUUCAGAACGUCGUGAGACAGUUCGGUCCCUAUCCGGCGCGGGCGGAGGAUAUUUGAGAGGAGCUGUCCUUAGUACGAGAGGACCGGGAUGGACGGACCACUGGUGUAUCUGCUGUCGACCAACGGCAUGGCAGAGUAGCCAAGUCCGGAAGGGAUAAACGCUGAAGGCAUCUAAGCGUGAAGCCCCCCUCAAGAUGAGAUAUCCCUCACAUAAGUGAGUAAGAUCCCUUGAAGAGUACAAGGUAGAUAGGGCAGAGGUGGAAGCACGGUAACGUGUGGAGCUGACUGUUACUAAUCGAUCGAGGGCUUGACCAA
rnacentral:rRNA from 1 species